rnacentral:rRNA from 1 species
AUACGUAGGGGGCGAGCGUUGUCCGGAAUUAUUGGGCGUAAAGGGCGCGUAGGCGGGUUGGUAAGUUGGAUGUGAAAUCCCCGGGCUCAACCCGGGACGUGCAUACAAAACUGCCGAUCUUGAGUGCGGGAGAGGGAAGUGGAAUUCCUGGUGUAGCGGUAAAAUGCAUAGAUAUUAGGAGGAACACCGGUGGCGAAGGCGACUUCCUGGGCCGUAACUGACGCUGAGGCGCGAAAGCGUGGGGAGCAAACAGGAUUAGAUACCCUGGUAGUCCACGCUGUAAACGAUGAAUGCUAGGUGUAGGAGGUAUCAACUCCUUCUGUGCCGCAGCCAACGCAAUAAGCAUUCCGCCUGGGGAGUACGGCCGCAAGGUUGAAACUUAAAGGAAUUGACGGGG